rnacentral:lncRNA from 1 species
CCUAUCUGAGUGAUGUUAUUUCUCGCCUGAAUGAUCUCAAUCUAGGAUUACAGGGACUCUCCGCAACUAUAUUCAAUGAUUAAGAAGUUGGAGCUCUUCUCUGUCUGCAUUAACAAGGACAACACACAGGUCUUUCCAUCACUGUAUGAUUUUUUUGUGUGGAAAUGAACUCAAGCUUACAAUAUAGCGAAGCACCUGAGUGAGUUGGGUGCGCAAUUACACAGGUACUUUCCCGAAACCAAUGACACAAACAACUGGAUUCAUUAUCCGUUUCAUGCCCUGCCUCCAGUCCCCUUACCGUUAUCUGAACAAGCACAGACUGUGUGUGGAAAAUGAUUUAAGACUGAGACUCUCUCCAAUACAACCCGACAUUGCAGAGUUAUGUGCAUCCUUUCAAGCACACCCUUCUCAUUAACCUGUGUGCAGGCAUACCCUGGCCGACCUUGGACUUGGGAGGUUUUUGAUACGGAGCUAUUUACCGACAGAUUAUGGGGAUAGUCGGCCUUCACCCCUGUCUCCAGCCUGAUGGACAACCUGACCUCUCAGUGGAUCCCUGAUCUCACCUCCUUGAUCUCAGCCUUCACAGUCAAACGCUCCUCUGCUUACUGAUAUCUGUGUUAUGUGAGGACUCUCAGGAUGACUGUUAGGUACCAUUGUUUUUUUAGCGCAUCACUAUUAAUCAAACCUAUGGAUGGGAGGGUUGACCUGAACCUUGCAGCGUGGCAGGACAAGUAACCUGAAGUCAUAUUACCUCCACCAUCUCUAACCAACUGAAAACACACACAUGCACUGAGAUGAUCAUGAACUGGUCUCUAGGAGAUACUGGUGAACAACUGGAAUGUUUUUUCUUCUAGGCUCCCUGCUCAGUUCCUCCAAAUCUAAAGAGAUCAUUUUACUUAACAGUGAUGAUGGCUGGUCAGAACUCAGAUCUAAGGAGGCUCUCCAAUAUCUUAGUUGGCUGAAUGUAGGUUCGAUCAAACGUGUGCUAUGGAUGUAUAUUUAGAUUUGACCUAGCUAUCUCAAAGUGAGUGACUUUUAAAGAUUAUAAGAUGAAAUGGGGAAUAAACCAAACCAAGACAAUGAUACUGACCGUAGGCUACACUCUUACAAAAAAAAGGUUCUGUCUAGAACCUAAAACAGUUCUUCAGCUGUUCCCAAAGGAGAACCCUUUGAAUGACUAUUUUUGGUUGCAGGUAGAACCCUUUUUGUUCCAGGUAGAACCCUUUUGGCUUUCAUGUAAAACCCUUUCCACAGAGGUUUCUACAUGGAACCCAAAAGAGUUCUACCUGUAACCAAAAAGGAACCAAUAGGGUUCUCCUAGGGUUCUCCUAUGGGGACAGCUGAAAACCCCUUUUGGAACCCUUUUUCUAAGAGUGUAGUUAACAGUUGGAAACUUAGCUAUGCUUUCUCAAACAAUUGUGACUUGCUGUGUGGCUGAUAAAAUGUGCAAUGAUGAUUGGGUUACAGCUCCCCCUUCCACCCUCUAGAGAACCUGUAUCCUGUGACUCACACUCUUACUUACCCCCUGGGUUUACCCCCAUAGGGGCCCGAUCCCUUUUGGUAGUUCCAGUUUGGACUUAAUCACCCCUGAGUGUGCCCUUGGGACCUAUUUAGAACAUGUCGCCUACACUCUGAAGGUAACGUUUCUUUGGCACCUCUCUGCCCCAAGUGUUAAAAGAGUGCAUCUUCAAAAUGGGAGUUGCCAUAUGUACCGGGCUGGCGGUUUCAAAUGGGCUUUCCAUCAAGUGCCAGUGUAUUUUACUCCUCUUACAGCCAGGGCACACUCAGAACCAAGGACAGGUCCUCUGUUGAAAGCUCUGCCAUCUUUGGGGAAGUGUUUUAGUGGGUUUGGAGGUUGAGAGGACUUGGAGGAAUGUUCUGGCUGGGGAAAGUCUGGUAAAUUAGACUGAAGGCGGGGUAAUAUCACAGACCUAGGAGCACUUAAAGAAAGAGAGGAUGAUCUGAUGGGCCAUGUGUUGGGGGUUGGGCGGAUGCUGAAGGUAACAGGGUUCAUGGAUUCAUCUGGUGUAGAGGUAAUCUGGUAUAUACAUACAUACUUGAAAAUAAAAGUGCUUCUUCAAAGCUUAUCAAUAAUGCUAAUGAUCUAAUUUCAAUAUGUACUGGAUGAGAAUUAAUCAGGCAUUCAGUCAUGUGGAC